ensembl:lncRNA
UUAAGAGUUGGCAAUGGAGGUAAGGAUACCUUUUUGGGGAUUCUUGCAAGCUUGAGGCUUUCUGAAGGUUUUCACCUCAGGCCAAGUGCCUAAUGAACCCCAAAGGGCUGUGUUCUCCUAAGUAAAGGCACAGCAAGGACUGCUGCUGUUUCCUCCCCUUCAAUCUCUACCUCUGCAGUUCCUGAUUCACCAUGGGACACAGCAGCCUGAGCAAGAACAGGAACAAAGAGCAAAGCAGAUAACAGCAGGACACAGAGAAGAUGGUACUGGGUCAAACCCAAGAUCCAUCUACCGCAAGAUUCACCUGGAAGCAGACAACAGUAAAUGUUUACUGAAGAGUAUAAUAGGAGACAUACAGAAUAAUCCUUUGCCUUGCACUGCCAUCUAAUUCUUGGUUUACAGACUUGCUAGAUAAGAGUUUGCAUUUUAACCACUGUGUUCAAUGGCCUUCUAUGGAGCUCUUCUCCACAAUUCAAUAGGAAUACACCAUCUACACACCAUUUUAAGGGCCAUUCCUUUGAAAACUUGCAAGUGGAACUUUGAUCUCCUGUGGAUACUUUUUUCUGUCUCAGUUCCCUGGGAGAAAACAAGUACUGCUUACCUCUAGAAUGUGAUCGUGGAAGAGUUGACUUGGUUUGGAUUGUGAGGUUACAUUCAUGCAAGGAGGAUUUUUUCACAAACUUCAGAGUCACGAGGAUAAAAUUCUGGAAGCUUCACUCCAAAGAUACAGGUCAAAAGUAUAAUAGUCCCUUCAGCGUAAAACCUAAGACAGCCAUGCAGUUUGCACAGUCUGAAAUUCUGCAUAAAUUGAGGACAUUCUUUGUAUAGGACUAAACCAUGCAGUUAACAUUUUGAUUUACCUUACUACGUAUGCACUCAUUUUAACACUGUAAGAUGUGAAAAUACACAUUAACAGAAAAAAUUCUAUGAAUAUGUUUAAUAUAUAUUACACAUACCACAUAAAUACCAAGUAUGCACACAAGGGAGGAAAGAGUACUAACUGCUUUUUCUUUAAUUUUGUCGUAAAGGAUCACAAUGAAUAACACAUUUAAUCCAUCUCAGGUAUCAUUUUUCUUCCGCACAAUUUUUUUCCAUUAUUCAGCUAUUUUGGUCCACAUGAAAGCAAAUCUAAAAUCAGUGAUUCUGAGGCUUACAGCCUCCCUAAUGGCUUCUCACAUGUACAUCACGAAACACAAGCAAAGAAAAAGCAAAGAGAACCUGAGCAGUCAGGGGGGCUAGGGACUUAAAAUUAUUCUAUAUGUUUUAGUCUGAUUUGGGGGACUAAGAGGAUUAACUUCCCAUUAACUUCUGCCUGCAUGAUUGAACUUCCAUGUUGUCUGCAUGUUUUACUGGAAAUCAUAAUCCAAACUCUGCACUGACUUUCAUACUGCCAUGGCUGCAGGUUUAAAAUUUCUUUUUUCUGUUGUUUAGUUUAUUUGUCUGUUUUCCUAAAGACAACUUUGGGAUACUGUAAAGUUUCUAAGAUGCAGAAAUAAAGCUGCUU